rnacentral:rRNA from 1 species
CAGUCGCCACGGUAAUACGAAGGGUGCAAGCGUUACUCGGAAUUACUGGGCGUAAAGCGUGCGUAGGUGGUGGUUUAAGUCCGUUGUGAAAGCCCUGGGCUCAACCUGAGAAUUGCAGUGGAUACUGGGUCACUAGAGUGUGGUAGAGGAUAGUGGAAUUUCCGGUGUAGCAGUGAAAUGCGUAGAGAUCGGAAGGAACAUCUGUGGCGAAGGCGGCCAUCUGGGACAACACUGACGCUGAGGCACGAAAGCGUGGGGAGCAAACAGGAUUAGAUACCCCCGUAGUCCCUGUCUCUUAUAC